CCUACGGGUGGCAGCAGUCGAGAAUCAUUCACAAUGGGGGAAACCCUGAUGGUGCGACGCCGCGUGGGUGAAUGAAGGUCUUCGGAUUGUAAACCCCUGUCAUGUGGGAGCAAAUUAAAAAGAUAGUACCACAAGAGGAAGAGACGGCUAACUCUGUGCCAGCAGCCGCGGUAAUACAGAGGUCUCAAGCGUUGUUCGGAAUCACUGGGCGUAAGGCGUGCGUAGGCUGUUUCGUAAGUCGUGUGUGAAAUGCGCGGGCUCAACCCGCGGACGGCACAUGAUACUGCGAGACUAGAGUAAUGGAGGGGGAACCGGAAUUCUCGGUGUAGCAGUGAAAUGCGUAGAUAUCGAGAGGAACACUCGUGGCGAAGGCGGGUUCCUGGACAUUAACUGACGCUGAGGCACGAAGGCCAGGGGAGCGAAAGGGAUUAGAUACCCUGGUAGUC
rnacentral:rRNA from 1 species